GAUAAACGCUGGCGGCGUGCUUAACACAUGCAAGUCGAACGGAGUACUUCUCCCGAGACCGAGGAAGCUUGCUUCCAAAGAAUCAUUUGAAGUACUUAGUGGCGGACGGGUGAGUAACGCGUGGGUAACCUGCCUCACACAGGGGGAUAACAGUUGGAAACGACUGUUAAUACCGCAUAAGCGCACAGUAUCGCAUGAUACAGUGUGAAAAACUCCGGUGGUGUGAGAUGGACCCGCGUCUGAUUAGCUAGUUGGUGAGGUAACGGCCCACCAAGGCGACGAUCAGUAGCCGGCCUGAGAGGGUGUACGGCCACAUUGGGACUGAGACACGGCCCAAACUCCUACGGGAGGCAGCAGUGGGGAAUAUUGCACAAUGGGGGAAACCCUGAUGCAGCGACGCCGCGUGAGUGAUGAAGUAUCUCGGUAUGUAAAGCUCUAUCAGCAGG
rnacentral:rRNA from 1 species